rnacentral:rRNA from 1 species
GUUGUAUGGUUAAGUGACUAAGCGUACACGGUGGAUGCCUUGGCAGUCAGAGGCGAUGAAAGACGUAGUAACUUGCGAUAAGCCCAGAUUAGGUAGUAACAACCAUUUGAGUCUGGGAUUUCUGAAUGGGGAAACCCACGUGCAUAAGCACGUAUCCUUACCUGAAUACAUAGGGUAAGGAGGCGAACCGGGGGAACUGAAACAUCUAAGUACCCCGAGGAAAAGAAAUCAACCGAGAUUCCGAAAGUAGCGGCGAGCGAAAUUGGACUAGCCCUUAAGCUUUACACGCGUUAGACGAACGGUCUGGAAAGUCCGACGAUACAGGGUGAUAGUCCCGUAGUUGACGACGUGUGUUCAGUGAAAUCGAGUAGGGCGGGACACGUGAUAUCCUGUCUGAAUAUGGGGGGACCAUCCUCCAAGGCUAAAUACUACUGACUGACCGAUAGUGAACCAGUACCGUGAGGGAAAGGCGAAAAGAACCCCUGUGAGGGGAGUGAAAUAGAACCUGAAACCGUGUACGUACAAGCAGUAGGAGCAGGCUUUGUCCUGUGACUGCGUACCUUUUGUAUAAUGGGUCAGCGACUUAUAUUCAGUGGCAAGGUUAACCAUCUAGGGGAGCCGUAGGGAAACCGAGUCUUAACUGGGCGUUCAGUCUCUGGAUAUAGACCCGAAACCAGGUGAUCUAGCCAUGGGCAGGUUGAAGGUUGAGUAACAUCAACUGGAGGACCGAACCGACUAAUGUUGAAAAAUUAGCGGAUGACUUGUGGCUAGGGGUGAAAGGCCAAUCAAACCUGGAGAUAGCUGGUUCUCCCCGAAAGCUAUUUAGGUAGCGCCUCGGACGAAUACUACUGGGGGUAGAGCACUGUUAAGGCUAGGGGGUCAUCCCGACUUACCAACCCUUUGCAAACUCCGAAUACCAGUAAGUACUAUCCGGGAGACACACGGCGGGUGCUAACGUCCGUCGUGGAGAGGGAAACAACCCAGACCGCCAGCUAAGGUCCCAAAUUACUACUAAGUGGGAAACGAUGUGGGAAGGCUCAGACAGCCAGGAUGUUGGCUUAGAAGCAGCCAUCAUUUAAAGAAAGCGUAAUAGCUCACUGGUCGAGUCGGCCUGCGCGGAAGAUGUAACGGGGCUAAGUAGUAAACCGAAGCUGCGGCAAUAUACUUUUGUAUAUUGGGUAGGGGAGCGUUCUGUAAGCGGUUGAAGGUGUGUGGUAACGCAUGCUGGACGUAUCAGAAGUGCGAAUGCUGACAUGAGUAACGAUAAAGGGGGUGAAAAACCUCCUCGCCGGAAGACCAAGGGUUCCUGUCCAACGUUAAUCGGGGCAGGGUAAGUCGACCCCUAAGGCGAGGCCGAAAGGCGUAGUCGAUGGGAAACGGGUUAAUAUUCCCGUACUUCUUACAAUUGCGAUGGGGGGACGGAGAAGGCUAGGUGGGCCUGGCGACGGUUGUCCAGGUUCAAGUGCGUAGGCUUAAGAGUUAGGUAAAUCCGGCUCUUUUUAAGGCUGAGACACGACGUCGAGCACCUACGGGUGUGAAGUCAUUGAUGCCAUGCUUCCAGGAAAAGCCUCUAAGCUUCAGAUUGUAAGGAAUCGUACCCCAAACCGACACAGGUGGUCGGGUAGAGAAUACCAAGGCGCUUGAGAGAACUCGGGUGAAGGAACUAGGCAAAAUGGUACCGUAACUUCGGGAGAAGGUACGCUCUCGACGGUGAAGUCCCUUGCGGAUGGAGCUAUUGAGAGUCGCAGAUACCAGGUGGCUGCAACUGUUUAUUAAAAACACAGCACUGUGCAAAAUCGUAAGAUGACGUAUACGGUGUGACGCCUGCCCGGUGCCGGAAGGUUAAUUGAUGGGGUUAGACUUCGGUCGAAGCUCUUGAUCGAAGCCCCGGUAAACGGCGGCCGUAACUAUAACGGUCCUAAGGUAGCGAAAUUCCUUGUCGGGUAAGUUCCGACCUGCACGAAUGGCGUAAUGAUGGCCACGCUGUCUCCACCCGAGACUCAGUGAAAUUGAAAUCGCUGUGAAGAUGCAGUGUACCCGCGGCUAGACGGAAAGACCCCGUGAACCUUUACUACAGCUUGGCACUGAACAUUGACCCUACAUGUGUAGGAUAGGUGGGAGGCUUUGAAGCACGUACGCCAGUAUGUGUGGAGCCGUCCUUGAAAUACCACCCUUGUAGUGUUGAUGUUCUAACGUCGACCCCUUAUCGGGGUUGCGGACAGUGCCUGGUGGGUAGUUUGACUGGGGCGGUCUCCUCCCAAAGAGUAACGGAGGAGCACGAAGGUGGGCUAAUCACGGUUGGACAUCGUGAGGUUAGUGCAAUGGCAUAAGCCCGCUUGACUGCGAGAAUGACAAUUCGAGCAGGUGCGAAAGCAGGUCAUAGUGAUCCGGUGGUUCUGAAUGGAAGGGCCAUCGCUCAACGGAUAAAAGGUACUCCGGGGAUAACAGGCUGAUACCGCCCAAGAGUUCAUAUCGACGGCGGUGUUUGGCACCUCGAUGUCGGCUCAUCACAUCCUGGGGCUGAAGUCGGUCCCAAGGGUAUGGCUGUUCGCCAUUUAAAGUGGUACGCGAGCUGGGUUUAGAACGUCGUGAGACAGUUCGGUCCCUAUCUGCCGUGGGCGUUGGAAGAUUGAAGGGGGCUGCUCCUAGUACGAGAGGACCGGAGUGGACGAACCUCUGGUGUUCGGGUUGUGUCGCCAGACGCAUUGCCCGGUAGCUAAGUUCGGAAUCGAUAACCGCUGAAAGCAUCUAAGCGGGAAGCGAGCCCUGAGAUGAGUCUUCCCUGAUACUUUAAGUAUCCUAAAGGGUUGUCGGAGACUACGACGUUGAUAGGUCAGGUGUGUAAGUGCUGUGAGGCAUUGAGCUAACUGAUACUAAUUGCCCGUGAGGCUUAACCAUACAACACCCAAGGGGUUU